rnacentral:rRNA from 1 species
UACGGGGGGGGCAAGCGUUGUUCGGAAUUACUGGGCGUAAAGGGCCAGUAGGCGGCCAACUAAGUCGGAUGUGAAAUCCCCAGGCUUAACCUGGGAACUGCAUCCGAUACUGGAUGGCUUGAAUUCGGGAGAGGGAUGCAGAAUUCCAGGUGUAGCGGUGAAAUGCGCAGAUAUCAGGAGGAACACCGGUGGCGAAGGCGGGUCUCUGGGCCGAUACUGACGCUGAGGAGCGAAAGCGUGGGGAGCGAACAGG